ensembl:lncRNA
UGUAGACCGGGACCUGGGGACUGGAGUUGACGAGAAGGAGACACAGGGGACCCAAGUCUCGAGUGAAACAAGGGUACUUUAUUUGCAGAAACGCAUGCUUAUAUAUCUUCAAUAAAAUGAUUACUCAGCCAUUAAAAAGAAUGACAUUUCACCAGUUGCAACAAAAUGGAUAGUCCUUUAAGUACGAGGUCACUGAAGAGAGUCAUUGAAGGGAAUCCAAACAGGUGCCCUUUCCCAUGAUCUCGGUCCUGAGAACUACGUGCAGCUCUGCUCAUUCUUGUUUUCCAGGAACUGAUAAGGAACAGAGAGUCCUUGAGAAACAGCGCACAAAGGAAGAAAACAUACUGGAUCCCUUAAAGUUAAAUGUACCCUGGCAGGGGACCAUCUGAUGUCUUUAACACUGUGAUACGAUUCUCGAGUCUUUGAGUCUUUGCAAUUCAAAUUGAAUUGAAGCUAAGGACUGGACCUGUUACUAAAGGAGAUAUUGGACAUGUUGACCUAGGAAAAUAAAAACAACUCAUUUUGGAAGGCGCUUGGAAUAUUCUGCAAUUAAAAACUGCUAGAAAGAAGGCUAGCAUCUCAUGUUUGGGUUCUCUGUUUUCAAGUGCAAUUCCGAAGAGUGAGCUGAGACUUUGCAGUCUGCUCACUAGAGGGAGUUAGAUACUAAAGAGCUGCCUUCUCAAGACACAUUGAGCUGAGUCUAACGCAGGAAAUCCGACCAAGACUUUGGGAGACUAGAUGCCAGAUUCCCUGUGGCAGAGCCAUCUUUUCAUAGAUUAAAAAAAAAAAUCUUUCCCAGUAUGGUGAAUAAACCACAGAACGUUUUCAAUUGUUUUUCUAAUUUAAACAUGAAUGCUCAAGGUAGAAAAAUAGAAAAAGUAAUAGAAAUACCUCAAAAUACAAAGAACAUUUCAAUUUACCUAUAAUGUUCACAUCUAGAACUAAACACAAUUAGUAACAAGUUUAGCCAUAUGGACUUUCUGGGAGCUGAAUAUUAUUUUUUAAUUUUUUAAAAUUUAUUUUUUAUUUUGGCUGUGCUGGGUCUUCAUUGCUGCGUGGGCCUUUCCCUGGUCGCAGGGAGCUACUCUCUAGUUGCAGUGCGUGGGGUUCUCAUUGUGGUGCCUUCCCUUGUUGCAGAGCAUGGGCCCUAGGGCUUCAGUAGUUGCGGCUCCCAGGCUCCAGAGCACAGGCUUAGUAGUUGGGCAGCAUGGGCUUAGUUGCUCAGCAGCAUUUCAGAUCUUCCUGGGUCAGGGAUCAAAAUGUGUCUGCAUUGCUGGGCAGAUUCUUUCCCACUGAGCCACCAGGGAAGCCCAGCUGAACGUUAUUGAGGAAAACCCCCACAAUUUCCUAUGUUUUAAUGUAAUAUCUGUCCUUAUUUUCUAUACGUAUAGUGAUAAUUUGAUUUUCACUUGAUAUUAUAUAGAGACUGUAUUAACAUUCAUGUAUGAAUAUAUUACUUACAGGUUUAUGGUUAGGCUUUGCAUUUUGUGUGGAUUAAAGGUUAUUGUCAAUGUUUUGAGAGAGAAUUUUCAAGGAAAUAAAUUCUCAGUCAAAAUUUUAUCUGAAAUCACCAUCUUCCUUCUCAACUGUAAUUUUUUUUUUUUUAGCUGCUUAAGAGCAAUAAAAAAGCAACAAUCAGUUGGUAUCAGUAGAUUGAUGAAGUGUGUGACGUAUCAGUCACUCAGUUGUGUCUGACUCUUUGCGAUGCCAUGGACUGUAGCCAGCCAGGAAUUCCUCUGUCCGUGGAAUUCCCCAGGCAAGAAUACUGGAGUGCGUUGCCAUUUCCUACUCCAAGGUAUCUUUCUGACCCAGGUAUUGAACCUGGGGCUCCUGCAUUACAAGGAGAUUCUUUACCUUCUGAGCCACCAGGGAAGCCCCUAAUAGAGUAAUAACUCAUGUUAACUGCUAUGUGGGACAGAGAUUAAAGAGUGAUGGUUCUUAAUUUUGUUGUGCCCAAGUCUCGAAAUCUCCCAAUGACCACCAGGGAGCCAAUAUCCAAUGCAAAAGCAAGACAGUUUUAAUCACCAAGCUUGAGCUGGGGCUCCCACCAAUACCAAUGCAGCAGCUAUAGGGAGGAGCCCUGAGCUCUAGGUUACAUUGAUUAUAUAGGGUAUUCUUGCGUGAGAAAUUUGAAAAAUGGUUGUUUCCAGGUUGGGAGAUGUCUAAUUGGUUACCUUCUGUGGAAGGGUUAGGUGUUGGGUUCUGAUUGGUUCCCAUUUCCCAGGCUUGCCAUGGGUUCUGAUUGGCCCCAGGGUGGUGGGGUGAGGUUAAGGGAUUUCCAAAAAGCUCCUUUCUGGGAAUUUUUACAAAAUGGAGUCUUCU